rnacentral:rRNA from 1 species
CAAUGGCACUGCCCGGUAGCUAAAUGCGGAAAAGAUAAGUGCUGAAAGCAUCUAAGCACGAAACUUGCCCCGAGAUGAGUCUUCCCUGAGACUUUGAGUCUCCUGAAGGAACGUUAAAGACGAUGACGUUGAUAGGCCGGGUGUGUAAGCGCAGCGAUGCGUUGAGCUAACCGGUACUAAUGAACCGUGAGGCUUAACCUU